rnacentral:rRNA from 1 species
GACGAACGCUGGCGGCGUGCCUAAUACAUGCAAGUAGAACGCUGAAGCUUGGUGCUUGCACCGAGCGGAUGAGUUGCGAACGGGUGAGUAACGCGUAGGUAACCUGCCUGGUAGCGGGGGAUAACUAUUGGAAACGAUAGCUAAUACCGCAUAAGAGUAGAUGUUGCAUGACAUUUGCUUAAAAGGUGCAAUUGCAUCACUACCAGAUGGACCUGCGUUGUAUUAGCUAGUUGGUGAGGUAACGGCUCACCAAGGCAACGAUACAUAGCCGACCUGAGAGGGUGAUCGGCCACACUGGGACGGAGACACGGCCCAGACUCCUACGGGAGGCAGCAGUAGGGAAUCUUCGGCAAUGGACGGAAGUCUGACCGAGCAACGCCGCGUGAGUGAAGAAGGUUUUCGGAUCGUAAAGCUCUGUUGUAAGAGAAGAACGAGUGUGAGAGUGGAAAGUUCACACUGUGACGGUAUCUGACCAGAAAGGGACGGCUAACUACGUG